rnacentral:lncRNA from 10 species
UCUUGAAAUGUCUUGAGUGAUUGGAGGACCUUUAUUUUUCACGCCUGAUGCCUUAUGCUGAUGAGAUGACUCAGCAGGGGAUGGCCAGGCCAGAAAGACCAAAACUGUAUCCUGAGGUUUGAGUUUCUGAGCCAGGUGAUGUCAUCCUCCAGCUUGGCCGGCCUCUUUCUGGGAGCCUCUGGUGUGAAAGAGAGCAGGAGUUUGCCUAAAUCUUCAAAGAUAUGUGAGGCUUGCCUAGAACAUCAUCAUCAGGAAUGCUGGUCCUUCAAUUUGUUUUUUGAAUUGAAGUGUAGUUUACAGUGAUCAAGUUGAAAAUAAGGCUCUGCAUGAAAGCUAACUAUUAAAAGGGUGUGGGCACAGGAGCAACCAACACAGACCCCACAGAAUCCCAAACCUAUGCUAAGAGGGAGCACUUCCAUCCCUCCAAACCUGUGCUAAGAGGGACACCUCCAUCCUUCUAAGCCUGUGCUAAGAGGGAACACCUCCAUCCUUCCAAACCUGUGAUAGGAGGGAGCAUCUCCAUCCUUCUGAACCUGUGCUAAGAGGAAACACCUCCAUCCUUCCAAACCUGUGAUAGGAGGGAGCACCUCCAUCCUUCCGAACCUGUGCUAAGAGGGACACCUCCAUCCUUCCAAGCCUGUGCUAAGAGGGAGCACCUCCAUCCUUCCAAACCUGUGAUAGGAGGGAGCACCUCCAUCCUUCCAAGCCUGUGCUAAGAGGGAGCACCUCCAUCCUUCCAAACCUGUGAUAGGAGGGAGCACCUCCAUCCUUCCGAACCUGUGCUAAGAGGGACACCUCCAUCCUUCCAAGCCUGUGCUAAGAAGGAGCACCUCCAUCCUUCCAUCUGG